AGUGAACGUUGGCGGCAUGGAUUAGGCAUGCAAGUCGAGCGAGAAGUGUAGCAAUACACGGAAAGCGGCGGAAGGGAGAGUAAUACGUGGGAAUCUGCCCUCAGACCUGGGAUAGCAGCGGGAAACUGCUGGUAAUACCAGAUAAUGUCUAUGGACCAAAGGUGUGAUUCCGUCUAGGGAUGAGCCCACGUCCUAUUAGCUAGUUGGUAGGGUAAUGGCCUACCAAGGCGAUGAUGGGUAGCGGGGGUGAGAGCAUGACCCGCCUCACUGGGGCUGAGACACUGCCCAGACACCUACGGGUGGCUGCAGUCGAGAAUCUUCGGCAAUGGGCGCAAGCCUGACCGAGCGAUGCCGCGUGCGGGAUGAAGGCCUUCGGGUUGUAAACCGCUGUCGAGGGGGAGCAACUUCCAUAGAGUUAUCUUUAUGGAUUGAGUGAUCCCUGGAGGAAGGACGGGCUAAGUUCGUGCCAGCAGCCGCCGUAAAAC
rnacentral:rRNA from 1 species